ensembl:lncRNA
GACCAUGGGCCUGAGAACAUGGUGACUCCAGCCUUGUGAGAGGAAUCAGAGGACCCAGACGAGUUACACUGUAACCAGACUUCGGAACCAGCCAGGGAGUGAACCCAUGUCCCCUGCAUUGCAAGGUGGAUUCUUAACCACUGGAACCACCUGGGGAUCUUCCCGACCCAGGGAUCGAACCCACGUCUCUUGCAUCUCUUGCACUGGCAGGCGGAUUCUUUACCACUGCACCACCUGGGAAUCCCUGGCUCGAAAUGUGGAAGCAACUACAGUGUCUCAAAGGACUAAAUACCUUGUGAUGACUCUUCUCAUCUGUUACCAAUGCCCAGCGAAUGCAAACAAGGACUCACAAAGGCAGAGGGAUAAACAUAUUUAAGCCAGACCUAUUUCCAGAGAAAUAAAUUAAAGAUGGUUCAAACAAACGCUUCAAACACACAAGAAUAAUGAUUUCCCCAUGGAUACAUUGUGUGCUUGCUGGCACUAUAACUUUGGCCUUACAUGCAGGAGCCCAUAAAAAGUUAGGGGCAGGAUAAAAAGAAACAAGGAGUGCACAGUGGAGUGAAGCCAUUCGCACUGCAGCCGAAUAUCGCUGCCCCAAAUUACCCCGCCGGAGUCUGCUGUCUGGGGAUUCCAGACACCUGGAAUGCAGCGAAUUCAAUGUCUGUGGAAGCACCAUCCGUGGAUGCUAAGACACGCCAGGACCCCUACCUUUUGCCUCCCUGUGAUUUUUUGGGGACCAUGCUUUUUAGCCUGCCCACAAGGUAGGUUUGCCCAUGGCUAUCUGUCUCCUUUUUUUUUCUUUUUGCAGAGAAAAAUGCCAAAGCAGAUACGCAGCUGGGCAGUGGAGGAGUGGCUCUGUUCCAUGGGGGAGACUGGGUUAUUUCAGAUGACCUCUCUGCACCCCUGAACACCAUGAGAGACUUUAGCUACCUCGCUCAGGUUCAUCUGGCCCUGAUCCCCAGACCACCUGUAGGUAUUCUCAUGACCCUGACUGUAGUCCAUAGCUUAACAGAGAGAUUCAGGGGAAAUCAGUGCCGCCAACUACAUCCAUUUUGAUCUGCUCCUAAGCCCUCCACUGGGAACAUCACCAAUAUGGCAAACAUCUUGAAAAGGUCCAUUUCUGUGCCUCCUUGCCGAGGGUUUCCAGGGUCUCGGGGUCCAUCGAAAGUGACGAGUUGUUUUGAGUUGUGUCCAGUAUUUUCACAGUAUGUUUCUUCGCCACAAAGAUUUUUGCCCUGAACAUUUUCACUGCAUAAGUAAUUGGCCAUAAAGCAAUUGCGUCAUAAGAGGAAAAAUAACUGGCUGACAGUUUGGUUUGAAGUAUACAGUACAAAGAUCACGACAGAUAACAGUGAUUUGUCCUGAGAGUUGAUUUCUUUAUUUUGAAACACUGGAGGAGAAAGAGGCCUUGAGGGCACAGGGUCGAGCCCUCAUUUUCCAUAGAACUUUGGAACAUUUCUCCGUGGACACACGACAAUAUGCCAAGGACAUACAAUGGUGUAGAGGCUUUCACAGCUCAAUAAAGCUCAGUUGCAAACAUGCAUCCUGUGUUGGGAAACUGAUACCUCUUUCUACCUUUUUAAAAAGUUUUUAAUUUUUUAUUUAUUUUUGGCUGUGCUGGGUCUUCAUUGCUGUGCAUGAUGCUAUAGUAGGGUAAUGG